AAGUUAUAAUGCAGACAUUUCCUAAAUAAAUCUUUAAACCUCUCCCAUGGCUCAAGUAAUGAUUCAAUGUCCAACUGUGCAUAUGUUGUAAUCUCUUGACACAACUU